CGAACGCUGGCGGCGUGCCUAAUACAUGCAAGUCGAGCGCGGGAAGCAAACUGAAGCCUCGGCGGACGUUGUGGAACGAGCGGCGGAUGGGUGAGUAACACGUGGGCAACCUGCCUGUAAGAUUGGGAUAACUUAGCGGAAACGUGAGCUAAUACCAAUAAAGCUUCAUAUCACCUGAUGUGAAGAUGAAAGAUGGCUCCGGCUAUCACUUACAGAUGGGCCCGUGGCGCAUUAGCUAGUUGGUGGGAUAAAAGCUUACCAAGGCAACGAUGCGUAGCCGACCUGAGAGGGUGAUCGGCCACACUGGGACUGAGACACGGCCCAGACUCCUACGGGAGGCAGCAGUAGGGAAUCUUCCGCAAUGGACGCAAGUCUGACGGAGCCAACGCCGCGUGAGUGAUGAAGGUUUUCGGAUCGUAAAACUCUGUUGUUAGGGAAGAACAAGUACCGUUCGAAUAGGUCGGUACCUUGACGGUACCUAACCAGAAAGCCCCGGCUAACUACGUGCCAGCAGCCGC
rnacentral:rRNA from 1 species